rnacentral:rRNA from 1 species
AUGCAAUGGUACAAGGAUGAUAAUUAUUCAACUUGGAAGAAAAUUCAUCGAAGCACGGAUAGUAACCGGAACACAUCGGGAGAAAAGGUAUAUAUUCAAAGAAUAGUCAUGUCACCAACUGAAUCAGCAUGGCCAUUUGUUCUAAAAAGGAGACAAUAUCCUACAUCAGUUUGCUUUGCUAUGACUAUCAACAAAAGCCAGGGCCAAUCUCUGAACAAGGUAGGACUAUAUCUACCUAAACAAGUUUUCACACAUGGACAAUUAUACGUAGCCUUCUCAAGAGUAACACAAAGGGAGGGACGGCAGGUAAUGGUAGAUGAUGAAGAUAGCAAUCAGGAUGAUGUGGUCAAGAAUAUAGUCUAUACAGAAAUAUUCUAA